CUCUGAAAGAAACACAGAAUAAUACGAAGUGAGAAGAAAAUUAUUAGCAUCCAUUCCACAAUACUUCGUCAGGGUAUCUGCUCAGCAUGAUAAAGGAAAAACUCUGCAUCGGGGGGGGGGGGCAUAAGCAAGCCAUUUGUAGCGCAGACGAAUUUAUUUAUGCGAUAAUUUACGUUCUACGAACCUACGCCAGUGAACUUGAUCGUGUGUAAUAGUUACAAAAGUACAGUCGAGCGGCGAUAUUUAACAGCUACGCGGCACCCACUGGAAAGAGACAUAUUCUUGGUACUUGCGAUGGAAUGAGGCGGCAGCGGAAUUAUACAGACGGAGGAACACCGAAAUGAUCAAAGAAUAAACAUGCCCCAGUGCCACCACAAGAACCACAUGCACUGAAGAUGACAGACUUUUCACAUGAGCUUACUCCUUCCAUCAUCAGGGCGAGGAGGCAUACACACGCUUCGUACGAGGUAACACGAAAUGAUAAUUUUCAAACACAUCACCCAGUAAUUUAAUGGGUUUCGUGGGCAGCCGUGUUUCAGGCGAGCCUUUUCAUAAAAUAUCCACUUAAAAUCACGGCUUUCUUUACUCUGGUAAGGAUCCAAAGACUGAACAACAAAAGGAGGGCCGCGAAAUCCGUCUUAUGAUUCAUCUACAGCUAAUUCAAACACGUAGAUCUAUGGACCUCUUUUACACGUUUAAUCGAGAAGCACGAACUAUGAAAGGAAUCGUAACCAGAACAAAGAAGUCAUAUAACGAGAGAACGAAAUUAAUGCUGUACAGUCAGACAGUAAGAAACACUUGUAUGUAAUAACCUGCCUUAACUGCUGAUAUAGCUGCAGGUCUGCUACAAAGCGAGCUGGGUGAUCUUCAAGAAUUAAAAGAAGGUAAAACUCUCGA